rnacentral:piRNA from 1 species
UAUCUAACGUAUUUGCUUAUUCACCCGCCG